UGGAGAUGAACGGCGAUCGCUGGGCGUCUAGCCCAGAGGAAAGUCCGGGCUCCGCAGGGCAGGGUGGUCUGUAACACAGACCGGGGGAAACUCCAGGGAAAGUGCCACAGAAAAUAUACCGCCAUACGCUGUAUGGUAAGGGUGAAAAGGUGAGGUAAGGGCUCACCGCUGAAGUGGCGACACUUCAGGCAUGGCAAACCCCAUCCGGAGCAAGACCAAAUAGGGAGGCGUUUGAGGGCGGCCCGCCCAAGGCCUCCGGGUAGGUUGCUUGAGGCGUCUGGCAACAGGCGCCCUAGAUGAAUGACCGCCACCCCUGUAUCUAUGGGGUUACAGAACCCGGCUUAUGAGCAUCUCCAUCGA
rnacentral:RNase_P_RNA from 1 species